rnacentral:rRNA from 1 species
UACGAAGGGGGCAAGCGUUGUCCGGAUUUAUUGGGCGUAAAGAGCGUGUAGGCGGCUUGGUAGGUCCGCUGUGAAAACUCGAGGCUCAACCUCGAGAUGUCGGCGGAAACCACUUGGCUAGAGUCCGGAAGAGGAGAGUGGAAUUCCCGGUGUAGCGGUGAAAUGCGCAGAUAUCGGGAAGAACACCUAUGGCGAAGGCAGCUCUCUGGGACGGUACUGACGCUGAGACGCGAAAGCGUGGGGAGCGAACAGG